UACGGAGGGUGCAAGCGUUAUCCGGAUUUACUGGGUUUAAAGGGUGCGCAGGCGGAUAUGUAAGUCAGUGGUGAAAUCUCUAGGCUUAACCUGGAAAUUGCCGUUGAUACUAUUUGUCUUGAAUACUGUGGAGGUCAGCGGAAUAUGUCAUGUAGCGGUGAAAUGCUUAGAUAUGACAUAGAACACCAAUUGCGAAGGCAGCUGGCUACACAAAUAUUGACACUGAGGCACGAAAGCGUGGGGAUCAAACAGG
rnacentral:rRNA from 1 species